GGGUGCGACCAUACCAGCACUAACGCACCGGAUCCCAUCAGAACUCCGAAGUUAAGCGUGCUUGGGCGAGAAUAGUACUAGGAUGAGUGACCCCCAGGGAAGUCCUCGUGUUGCACCCC
rnacentral:rRNA from 1 species